ACAGCAGAGAGAGCUGAAGAUGGUGGCGGGGGCCGCUAACAAUGCCUCGGGCCUCAGAUUGGAUCGUGGGUGGAAAGAGUCCGCAGUUUAAUCAGCAGUCACUUCCUGAGCCAGGCUGGGGAGCGUGAAUGUGAGGCCAUCCCUGCAGCAAGGACACUUCAUCGACGAACCCCCAGAAACUCCCCUGCCAAGGUGCUAACUUGUCCAACCUUCCAAGCUGGGAUAGCAUCCUGGAUUUACUCUCCAUCUGCAUGCCCAGGGUCCAGAAUAAGCUCCUGCAGAGGCAGAUAUCUCUUUGCUAUGGGAAUGGCUGGAGAAGAAAAAAAGAGCAUGACAACGUGACUGCCAUGAAAUUCGUGGUGGUAGAAUUGCUCUUCACUUCCAGCUCCGCUCCUCAUGCCCGCAUCAAGUUUAUGCCGAGUUAACACCAGAGGACUUUUGGCCCCUCAGAUUCUCUUCUUCCAGCUCUACCUACUUUAUUCUGAACACAAAGAUGGAAAACAACACAUGCUCCUGCGUGAUGAACUUCAUGAUGUACGUCUUAGCCUUUGGGGAAAAAAAUGAAAACCUUAUCGAUUGGAAAUAAAGUCACUUGACUGUCUA